CCCUUAAAUUUUGUGCCCCAAAUGAGUGCCUUGCUUGCCUCUCCCUAGCCCUGGCUCUGACAGUCAGUCAGUGUGCUUUAUGGAGGGAACAGAGUGGGUGGCCAGCCUGGGGAAUUCCUGAAGAGGAAGCACACAUGGGAGAGGACAUUGACAAUCUGUGUGAUGUCUUCUCCUUUCUCUCUGAGCAGGAGGUGAAGUCAUCAGCUAAGAGUGAGGAGGACAGGCCUCGGGAGACGGGGGAAGAUCUAGCAUGGCUGGUGAGAGCCUGGGAGAGGGAGAAGGUCCAGGACAAGUGGGGGAUAGUCACACAGCACUGAGUACUCUGCCCACAGCUGGAUGUUGCCAAUUGUGGCGAUGCUGUCUGCCUGGUGGGUUAGGCUUGUCCAGUAGCCUGGCAGGUGUUGCAGGCGUUGAGAAGAUGGAAGAAGACAAGAAUGACCCAAGGUCUGGGGUUGCUCAGAUAGAAGGACAGGAAGCAGGGAGAGGAGGGCAGAAGUGCCAGGUGAUUCCACAUCUGAGACAGGGAGGCGGGUAGAAGAAAGGUCAGGAGAUUGCUGGGUGGAAUGGGUGUUAGGGGGCAGGCAGGGGGUGGGCAGAGGAUUCUAGAUGAAUAUUUCGGGGCUGGGGCUGAAGAGGGAAUGGACUGGAAUUUUGAAGUUUUGAGUAAAUGCUGUUCUCAGCAAAGCAGUUCUAAAUGACCUUCUUGCUGAUAAGUUGUGUUGAGUGUGUGGGAGGGAAUGUGAACAAAAUAUAGAAGUUGAUGCAAACCAAUGCAUUUGGAGUGGAUAAGCAAUGAGAUCCUGCUGUAUAGCCCAGGGAACUGUAUCCAGUCACUUGGGAUGGAACAUGAUGGAAGACAAUGUAGGAAAAAGAAUGUAUAAAUAUAUAUAUGUAUGACCGGGUCACUUUGCUGUACAGCAGAAACUGACAGAACAUUGUAAAUCAACUAUAAUUUUAAAAAAUGUUAAACAAACGUUAAAAAAAGAAAUAUAGUUUCCAAUUAAAAAAUCAAGUUCAAGAUCUACUCUUCAUCUAUUAUCAAUGCAAAACUUAGAUGAUUGUUAAAAAUAUUACAUUAACUUAAUAUCCAGUAGGUGUUGAGAAUGCCAUGCACAUUUAAAAUCUCAUAAAUUAUCAUUUAAAUAAUUGUUUAUGUAAAACAAUUAUAUGUAAAAAAGCUCCCCCUAGUUCCUUGGCAGUAGAAAGCUUCAUUUUCCAUGCCAAAGCUUAAUAAUCACAAAAUAUGGUACAUAUUGUCAAUAAAUUUACUUAGGAAGAAAAAAAAGAAAAAUGCUUUCCCCAAGAUUAGAUGUUGUUAGUAUAUUACGACAAUGGCUAGAAACAGUGGUCAAGAACCAAAUGAAUGGAGACAAAAGUCUACGCAUUUUGAUUUCAACCCAGUGGCUUUCUCUAGUUCACAUUACUGGGCCUUCAGGUCUGGAUUCAGUGCUGCUUCUCCUCCUGGAAGAUGCCUUCCCCACCUCCACCCAGCCCCCACCACCUCCACCUGGAGACCCCCUGCGCUCCAGCUCUCACCAUUUGCUGCCCCCCAUCUGUCUCCCCCCUCGAGCUCCAUGCCAGGCCUUGUGCGUCCUGCCUUCUAUCCUCCUCUGCCUUCAAUUUUCUGAUGAGCCAGUCUGUAAAACAGUUCAUUUUUUCUUUGACUCCUCUCUCUUUUUCCCCUGAGUUUAUUGUUCCUCAGGCGUUUGCUCAGCUCUCCCCUGGAGAGCCCACCCGCCCUCACAGUGGCCACCGUCCUUAUGCUCAGGGUGCCAGGGACGGCGGUCCUGUCUACCUCAGGCUCAGCCUGCCUGCUGGACCACUCCACGUGUUGUCCAACACCUCAGUCAACGCAGCCCCGAACCAAACGUGUUCCCUCCUCAUUCCUGACUCAGGAAACCAGUUUUCCCUCUUUUGUCAUAAUGCUUUAUCGACAGGGAUAGUCAAUACACAAUCUAGAAUAGGAAAAAAAGUUUUAUUUGAGCUAAACUGAGGGCUGUGUCUUUCUCAAGGACCUGAAAGCCAUUUCUUUGGUAUGUCAUCACAGGAAGGAGAGAAUCCUAACUUCAAGAUUGCCAGCUGGCAGGCACAGCUGGCCUUAUCACAUUUACACUGACCCACUCUUACCCACGUUUUAUAAUUUUUCACUUCUCUGAACUCUACUUGAGCCCCACCCACUACCCCUCUCUGCUCCCUCAUUCUCCCUUUGAAAGCACCCAGUCAGGAGUUCCGAUCAUGGCUCAGUGGUUAAUGAACCCAACUAGUAUCCAUGAGGAUGCGAGUUUGAUCCCUGGCCUUGCUCAGUGGGCUAAGGAUCUGGCAUUGCUGUGAGCUGUAGUGUAGGUAGGUCGGAGUCACGGCUUGGAUCCAGUGCUGUGGCUGUGGUGUAGGCCAGCCGCUAUGGCUCCAUUUUGACCUGUAGCCUAGGAACCUCCAUGUGCCUCAGGUGUGGCCCAAAAAAGACAAAAAAAUAAAACAAAUAAAAAAUAAAUAAAAGCACCCAGUCAACUCUGCAUAAAUCUGAGGUGGAGCUCAGCUCUUUCUCCUACUGUCAGCAACCCCUACUGGUUACCAAAUAAAAUCUGUGUUCACUGCUUUAAGGAAAGUCUGCCUUUUCUUUCAUACCUAAAACAAAGAUUGCCCCUCCUAAGACCACCUAAAUCCUGUUGAUCCUCAGGCUCUUCUGAAAUUCUGUAAUUCAUCCAACCCUCACUGAUCUCUGCUCCUAGGGAAACUCCUGCACGGCCUGCCAUUGGUAUCGCCCACGUUAACACUGACUGACCUGCCUGAAUAACGAUGUGCGAAGUUUUUUCCUGCAAUUUUGUCUUGACUCCAACUGUCUCUAAUACUUCGAGGCUGAAGAUUCUAUUAGUCCAUUAUUUUCCUUUGUGUAUAGUAUAAGUACUUACAUAGAAAGUACUCAAAUACUUAGAGGAUGAAUUGAAAUACUGGAAACUGUAGUAGUUUAACUGUCAGUUAAAAUGCAGGCAUUAUCAGCUUAAUCAUAAUUUCAACAAAUAGGAGUUCCCAUUGUGUUUCAGUGGGUUUAGAAACCAACUAGUAUCCAUGAGACUGUGGGUUCGAUCCCUGGCUUUGAUCAGUGGGUUAAGGAUAGGCAUUGCCGCAAGCUGCAAGCUGCAGUGUAGGUCACAGAUGCGGCUCAGAUUUGGCAUUGCUGUGGCUAUGGUGUAGGCAGGCAGCUGCAGCCCUGAUUCAACCCCUAGCCUGGAAACUUCCAUAUGCCAUGAGUGAAGCCCUAAAAAGCAAAAUAAAUUUCAACCAAUGUAGUUGGUUUUACAUAUAUUUCAGGGUCACAAAAGUAGAUCCAGUAAAGAAAUGAGUUACCAGCAGGGGUGAGGUAGAAUAAAUGAGAUAACUGUAGGUAAACUAGCUUGUCCAGAAAAGGUUAGAGAACUCUUUUGUAGGAGUUCCCAUCCUGGCACAGUGGAAACGAAUCCAACUAGGAACCAUGAGGUUGUGGGUUCAAACCCUGGCUUCACUCAGUGGGUUAAGGAUCUGGCAUUGCUGUGAGCUGUGGUGUAGGUUGCAGACACGGCUUAGAUCCUGCAUUGCUGUGGCUCUGGUGUAAGCCAGCAGCUGCUCUGAUUGAACCCCUAGCCUUGAACCCUCUAUAUGCCGUGAGUUCAGCCCUAAAAAGCCUCCCCCCC
rnacentral:lncRNA from 1 species